CUCAACCGCAAGGAGGGGGAUGCCUAAGGCAGGGCUAGUGACUGGGGUGAAGUCGUAACAAGGUANCCGUACCGGAAGGUGUGGCUGGAUCACCUCCUUA
rnacentral:rRNA from 1 species